rnacentral:rRNA from 1 species
GACCAGACUCCUACGGGAGGCAGCAAUGAGGAAUAUUGGUCAAUGGUCGGGAGACUGAACCAGCCAAGCCGCGUGAGGGAGGAAGGUACAGAGUAUCGUAAACCUCUUUUGUCAGGGAACAAAGGCGGGGACGUGUCCCCGGAUGAGUGUGCCUGAAGAAAAAGCAUCGGCUAACUCCGUGCCAGCAGCCGCGGUAAUACGGAGAAUGCGAGCGUUAUCCGGAUUUAUUGGGUUUAAAGGGUGCGUAGGCGGAAGGUUAAGUCAGCGGUAAAAUGUCGGUGCUCAACACCGGCCUGCCGUUGAAACUGGUCUUCUUGAGUGAGCGAGAAGUAUGCGGAAUGCGUGGUGUAGCGGUGAAAUGCAUAGAUAUCACGCAGAACUCCGAUUGCGAAGGCAGCAUACCGGCGCUCAACUGACGCUGAGGCACGAAAGCGUGGGGAUCGAACAGGAUUAGAUACCCCGGUAGC